CGGGCCGCCCAGCUGACCACCGGCCUCACCACCUUCAGCCCUGCAGCUGUCGGAGCAGGAGCGCCAGGCGCGCAGCCGGCUCGUGCUGCCCUACCUCAGGCCGGAGCAGGGUCGGGAGGAGGCCGGGUCGGGAGGUCAGAUCUUCUACCAGCCGGACGCCGCCGACGACUGGGACGAGGAGGAUCCCGACGACGAUCUGGACGUGUGACCUGACCUGGCACGAUCCCGGGCCUGGGAUGACCUCGGCCAGGUCGGGAGGAGCUGUUAAAGGUCUUUGCCACCUCCAGUCCGAAGGAUCAGCCGAAUGUGAACUAGGCCUGGCCUGGAAGGUGACCGGGGUCUGACCACGGCAGACACGACCCGCGGCGUGACCCCGGCAGCGCCUGAGCCUGUGUGACCGCUGUGGGUCUGUCAGUGGAUCUCCGUCUGCGUCCGGCUCCGAAGGACCGGACCCGGGCGACGCAUCUGUCGAGGGAACCGUGCCGUGCCUUCCCGUGCAGGGGAGAAUGGCGUGUGUAAACUGACUGAUUAAUUAAGUCCGCAGAGACGCACAGCCGGGCCGAUGAAUGUCGGAGCGGCUCCGAAGACUGGUCUUGACGGGUCCGAAGACCGGUCGAUAAGUUUGUUGUCUGACUUCAAAGAUGAUAAAUUUGUUUUGCAAUUACUGUGCGAGUGUUAAGAACAUCAACCACUGCGA